rnacentral:rRNA from 1 species
UACGUAGGGGGCAAGCGUUAUCCGGAUUUACUGGGUGUAAAGGGCGUGUAGCCGGGUUGACAAGUCAGAUGUGAAAUCCUGCGGCUUAACCGCAGAACUGCAUUUGAAACUGUUGAUCUUGAGUACUGGAGAGGCAGACGGAAUUCCUAGUGUAGCGGUGAAAUGCGUAGAUAUUAGGAGGAACACCAGUAGCGAAGGCGGCCUGCUGGGCUUUAACUGACGCUGAGGCUCGAAAGCGUGGGUAGCAAACAGG